rnacentral:lncRNA from 1 species
CUGAGUGGUUAUUUUGUGGACUGUGACAAGCACUUCAAAUACAAAAUGUUAGGAGGGCAAAACGGUGCGGGCCCUCGUAGGUCAGGCAGGCACCAGUGGGCUCCUUCCUGCUGAAAGCUGCGGCUGUGAGAUGAGACCGCUGGCUGGGUCACAGAGUGAAAUCCAGCGUUCCGUGUGCGGACGAGGAGACAAGCUGUCCUGGCCAGCCAUCGCACCCCAAUGUCUUCAGCUUGACGUUGCUUCUCUGCCAGUGGAGCCUCCUCCACCACCUGGGAACAUCCCUGGCCAUCUGUCCCUGAAGUCCUCCUCACCAUGACGCAGAUCACAAGGCACCCACUAAAGGGGCAAAGCCAGGAAUCCCGUGCCAUGUGAUCGCCCCGUGUGGCACCUGCCACUCGUCUGCACCAAACGCACUGCCAGUUCUGGGGAAGAACAGCCCAGGGAAGCUGCUGGUCUACGGCCUGCCUGAGCUGUAUUCCAAGGAAAUAUUCCUGGAAGAGGGGAUUCUCUGCGGGGCAGGCAUCCUCCGGGGAGA